rnacentral:rRNA from 1 species
AACGCUGGCGGCAUGCCUUACACAUGCAAGUCGAACGGCAGCACGGGAGCAAUCCUGGUGGCGAGUGGCGAACGGGUGAGUAAUAUAUCGGAACGUGCCCAGUCGUGGGGGAUAACGUAGCGAAAGCUACGCUAAUACCGCAUACGAUCUAUGGAUGAAAGCGGGGGAUCGCAAGACCUCGCGCGAUUGGAGCGGCCGAUAUCAGAUUAGGUAGUUGGUGAGGUAAAGGCUCACCAAGCCGACGAUCUGUAGCUGGUCUGAGAGGACGACCAGCCACACUGGGACUGAGACACGGCCCAGACUCCUACGGGAGGCAGCAGUGGGGAAUUUUGGACAAUGGGCGCAAGCCUGAUCCAGCAAUGCCGCGUGCAGGAUGAAGGCCUUCGGGUUGUAAACUGCUUUUGUACGGAACGAAACGGUGAGCUCUAAUACAGUUUGCUAAUGACGGUACCGUAAGAAUAAGCACCGGCUAACUACGUG